rnacentral:rRNA from 1 species
CGAACGGGUGAGUAACGCGUGAGGAACCUGCCUCAAAGAGGGGGACAACAGUUGGAAACGACUGCUGAUACCGCAUAAGCCCACGGGUCGGCAUCGACCUGAGGGAAAAGGAGCAAUCCGCUUUGAGAUGGCCUCGCGUCCGAUUAGCUAGUUGGUGAGGUAACGGCCCACCAAGGCGACGAUCGGUAGCCGGACUGAGAGGUUGAACGGCCACAUUGGGACUGAGACACGGCCCAG